UGGUAGGAUAGAGGCCUACNNUGGUGGUAACGGGUAACGGGGUGUUAGGGCACGACACCGGAGAGGGAGCCUGUGAAACGGCUACCACAUCCAAGGAUGGCAGCAGGCGCGCAAAUUACCCAAUCCCGACACGGGGAGGUAGUGACAAUAAAUAACAAUACGGGGUUCUUUAGGAUCUCGUAAUUGGAAUGAGUACAAUUUAAAUCUCUUAACGAGGAACAAUUGGAGGGCAAGUCUGGUGCCAGCAGCCGCGGUAAUUCCAGCUCCAAUAGCGUAUAUUAAAGUUGUUGCAGUUAAAAAGCUCGUAGUUGAAUUUCGGGGUUAGUAGGUUGGUCAUGCCUCUGGUAUGUACUGGUCUCACUGAUUCCUCCUUCCUUAUGAACCGUAAUGCCAUUAAUUUGGUGUUGCGGGGAAUUUGGACUGUUACUUUGAAAAAAUUAGAGUGUUUAAAGCAAGCUAACGCUUGAAUACAUUAGCAUGGAAUAAUGAAAUAGGACGUUCGAUCUUAUUUUGUUGGUUUCUAGGAUUGACGUAAUGAUUAAUAGGGAUAGUUGGGGGCAUUAGUAUUCAAUUGUCAGAGGUGAAAUUCUUGGAUUUAUUGAAGACUAACUACUGCGAAAGCAUUUGCCAAGGAUGUUUUCAUUAAUCAAGAACGAAAGUUAGGGGAUCGAAGACGAUCAGAUACCGUCGUAGUCUUAACCAUAAACUAUGCCGACUAGGGAUCGGAUGA
rnacentral:rRNA from 1 species